GCUUACGGCCAUACCACUCCGGAAUGCGCCCGAUUUCGUCUGAUCUCGGAAGCUAAGCAGGGUCAGGCCUGGUUAGUACUUGGAUGGGUGACCACCUGGGAACACCGGGUGCUGUAAGCU
rfam:Larimichthys crocea isolate SSNF unplaced genomic scaffold scaffold205, whole genome shotgun sequence.